rnacentral:rRNA from 1 species
ACUACGGGUGGCAGCAGUGGGGAAUAUUGCACAAUGGGCGCAAGCCUGAUGCAGCCAUGCCGCGUGUGUGAAGAAGGCCUUCGGGUUGUAAGGCACUUUCAGCGGGGAGGAAGGCGGUGAGGUUAAUAACCUCAUCGAUUGACGUUACCCGCAGAAGAAGCACCGGCUAACUCCGUGCCAGCAGCCGCGGUAAUACGGAGGGUGCAAGCGUUAAUCGGAAUUACUGGGCGUAAAGCGCACGCAGGCGGUCUGUCAAGUCGGAUGUGAAAUCCCCGGGCUCAACCUGGGAACUGCAUUCGAAACUGGCAGGCUAGAGUCUUGUAGAGGGGGGUAGAAUUCCAGGUGUAGCGGUGAAAUGCGUAGAGAUCUGGAGGAAUACCGGUGGCGAAGGCGGCCCCCUGGACAAAGACUGACGCUCAGGUGCGAAAGCGUGGGGAGCAAACAGGAUUAGAUACCCUUGUAGUC